GUAGAAACUAAAUUGGUCUAACCUAGGUCGGUCGCAGACUUGAAGUAAAGCUUUCAAACUAUGAUUUGGUUCGAUAAGGGCUAUUAGCUCAGGUGGUUAGAGCGCACCCCUGAUAAGGGUGAGGUCCCUGGUUCGAGUCCAGGAUGGCCCACCUGAAGGAAUUCAUAAAUCAAAAGUCAAAAGUCAAAAUUAAAUAUUUUUGAAGCAUGACUAGAAAUUUUGAGUUCUUUUUGGGGGUUUAGCUCAGUUGGUAGAGCGCCUGCUUUGCAAGCAGGAUGUCAGCGGUUCGAGUCCGCUAACCUCCACAUUGGAAAAAAGACAGCACCUAAUUGGAAAAGUUAGACUGCUGGAUGAAAUUCCAGCCAGAACCUUGAAAACUGCAUAAGAGAACGAGAAAAAGCAGGCAGACACAGACAUUUAAAUGGAUGUGAAAGCAAAGAAAAAUUGUGGUCAAGCUAAUAAGGGCUAAUGG
rnacentral:tRNA from 1 species